UUCCUCACUCUAUUAAAUACACAGACAAUACCCACAUAAAGCUCAUCCAUCUCUCACAUACUACACCCACUCACCUCCUCUCGAUCACCUACUGCAGACCCUCAUCUCCUUGCCUUCACUUACAUUAUACUUACCUGCAUCUUAUAAACAAACAAACACGCAUAAGACACCCACAAAUGAAAUCAAAACAUAUAAAGAGCUCCUGCCAACAUGGUCCCUCAACACCCUCUGUCUCUUCUCCGGCUCCGGCGACCGGAGUGGCGCCGGUUAACUGGCUGAACCUUUGUCGACGGUUUUUACCGAUGAAACUCCACCCCCUCGUCUUUGAACCAGCCAGACGACACCCCCCCUUCCGAUCGACAAAUUAGACGACCACCACCACCACCGUCCGGUGGUGGUGCAGCGGCGAAAUAAGAAGAUAGAAGAGAGAGAGAUCGGGAGCGAGAAAGAGAACGACGGAGGUGUGCGGUGGAGAUGGGCUGCGUAGCCGCCGCUACGGCGGCGGUGAUGGAGGAGUCCGUCGGGUUUCACGGUAUUUUUAUCUUCUGCUUUCUAAAAAAAUUGAUGUUGAGGGUUCAUUACUGUAGAAGAUGAUUGAUGGUGUCAGUGGUGGUGGUACUUACCGGAGCUAUGCCGGCGACAACAAGCGACGAUGGCGGCAGUGGUUAUGUUUUGGGCUGCAGAUUAUUUCGAGUUUCAAUUCGGGUUGGUUCACUCCAUCUCUAUUUUGGUUCAACUUUGUUACGGUUUCGGUUUACUCGGUACAUAUUCUUGGUUCAGGUCUUGUUACGGUUCGGUUUCAAGUCUUGGUCAAAGGCAGUCAACAAGUCAUUAGUUCAGUCAAACGAGUCAACUCUGGUCAACACAGUGAGUUGACUCAGUCAACUCAAUCGGUCAACUCAGACAACGCGAGUCAACCCGGUUGACUCGGUCAACUGGUCAACUCAGUCUCGGUCCACGUCACGACACGAAAGAUUUGGAAUAUUGUAGAAUGCACGCUAGCUAGUCACGUCUUGGAAAUGACAUCAUGAAGUCGUAAUUAGCUAGCUUUGCACAAGGCAAUUCAGGGAACUAGUGGAUCUGGCGGGGUAUGCAUGUGUCAAGCUGCGUUUGAAUAAAAGAUGUUAUCCAGGGUUGUUGAGUUUAGAGGGUGUAUUCCUUUUCUGGACGGGAUACAUAAUUCUAAACUCAGGUUUUAUUUAUGUACAUUUGUUGAGUCCUUGUGAACUCAGUUGAACAUGUCAUGGUUUGUAACUCAUUUUAAGUGUCGAUGUUUUCAAACAAUGUUGUUAUAGUAUUUUCUAAACUCUUUUAAUGGAUAAACAUCUCGUGUUUUUAUCA